rnacentral:rRNA from 1 species
GGAUUGCAGGCUGCAACCCGCCUGCAUGAAGCCGGAAUCGCUAGUAAUCGCGGAUCAGAAUGCCGCGGUGAAUACGUUCCCGGGUCUUGUACACACCGCCCGUCACACCAUGGGAGUCGAUAACGCCCGAAGUCAGUGACCUAGCCGAGAGGGAGGAGCUGCCGAAGGCGGGAUGGAUAACUGGGGUGAAGUCGUAACAAGGUACC